UAAGGAAUAUUGCUCAAUGGGAGAAAUCCUGAAGCAGCAACGCCGCGUGGAGGAUGAAGGGUCUAUGACUUGUAAACUCCUGUAAAGAAGGAAAAAAUUCCCAUUUGAUGGGAGAUGAUGGUACUUCUGGAGUAAGCCCCGGCUAACUACGUGCCAGCAGCCGCGGUAAUACGUAGGGGGCAAGCGUUGUCCGGAUUUACUGGGUGUAAAGGGUGCUCAGGCGGAUUUGUAAGUCAGAGGUGAAAUCUUACAGCUUAACUGUGAAACUGCCUUUGAUACUGCAAGCCUAGAGUAUGGAAGAGAGUGAUGGAAUAUCUGGUGUAGCAGUGAAAUGCGUAGAUAUCAGAUAGAACACCAAUGGCGAAGGCAGUCACUUGGUCCAUUACUGACGCUAAAGCACGAAAGCGUGGGUAGCAAACA
rnacentral:rRNA from 1 species